rnacentral:rRNA from 1 species
UACAGAGGGGGCAAGCGUUGUUCGGAAUUACUGGGCGUAAAGGGCGCGUAGGCGGCCCGCUAAGUCGAACGUGAAAUCCCCAGGCUCAACCUGGGAACUGCGUCCGAUACUGGCAGGCUUGAAUCCGGGAGAGGGAUGUGGAAUUCCAGGUGUAGCGGUGAAAUGCGUAGAUAUCUGGAGGAACACCGGUGGCGAAGGCGGCAUCCUGGACCGGCAUUGACGCUGAGGCGCGAAAGCCAGGGGAGCGAACGGG